rnacentral:rRNA from 1 species
UACGGGGGGAGCAAGCGUUGUUCGGAUUUACUGGGCGUAAAGGGCGCGUAGGCGGGCUGUCAAGUCUGGGGUGAAAUCCCACGGCUCAACCGUGGAACUGCCUUAGAUACUGACGGCCUCGAGGGAGAUAGGGGCGAGCGGAACUGUGAGUGGAGCGGUGAAAUGCGUUGAUGUUCACAGGAACUCCGGUGGCGAAGGCGGCUCGCUGGAUCUUUUCUGACGCUGAGGCGCGAAAGCUAGGGGAGCAAACGGG